rnacentral:rRNA from 1 species
GACGAACGCUGGCGGCGUGCUUAACACAUGCAAGUCGAACGGAAAGGCCCUGCUUUUGUGGGGUGCUCGAGUGGCGAACGGGUGAGUAACACGUGAGUAACCUGCCCUUGACUUUGGGAUAACUUCAGGCAACUGGGGCUAAUACCGGAUAGGAGCUCCUGCUGCAUGGUGGGGGUUGGAAAGUUUCGGCGGUUGGGGAUGGACUCGCGGCUUAUCAGCUUGUUGGUGGGGUAGUGGCUUACCAAGGCUUUGACGGGUAGCCGGCCUGCGAGGGUGACCGGCCACAUUGGGACUGAGAGACGGCCCAGACUCCUACGGGAGGCAGCAGUGGGGAAUAUUGCACAAUGGGCGGAAGCCUGAUGCAGCAACGCCGCGUGCGGGAUGACGGCCUUCGGGUUGUAAACCGCUUUCGCCUGUGACGAAGCGUGAGUGACGGUAAUGGGUAAAGAAGCACCGGCUAACUACGUG